rnacentral:ncRNA from 2 species
UGUCAGUUUCAGGGAAGGUGUAAUUCCUUACUGGCGGUGAUCUGCACUCCGGGUUUCAUAACGGAGAUGUCAGGAAGCCCGCGACCCGCGUAAGCGGCUGAUCCGGUGAGAUUCCGGAGCCAACGGUUAUAGUCCGGAUGGAAGAAACGAGGG